GAAUGAAGUAAAUAUUAUAAUGUGCACAUAAAUUGAUUUUGAUCUCUAGGUUUAUCCUUUCUGAUGUUUUUCAGCUUUGAUUUGGGGGCAUGAUUCGGCAGCAAAAUG